AGGAAGAGGAGCCAGGCACCAGAUUCUGCUUUGGGAAGACGACUGCUCACAUUACAGUAUGGACAAGCAAGAAAACAAGGCCUCUGCCCUGAGGAACUGAUUAUAUAAGUAAGUCAUCUCUUAGAAGACAAACCAUCACCAGGGCACAGCUAGGGUGUGGGGACGGCAAAAUGCGAGGAAAGAGGAACGUUCUCUUCUCACAUUAUUCGGAUUCUAUUUCACUAUUGUUAUUCUCAUUGUCAUUAAACCCCAUUCCUUCCAUUAUUGUAUCAACAUGUCCCCAACCGAAGAAAUCAGGAUUUUUCUUCUGAACACAAAGAAAUCAUAUUUAAAGAUCAAUAAAACCAGAAUAGCAGUAGCA